rnacentral:pre_miRNA from 1 species
GCCGUGAAGAGGAAGAAAGAGAGACCUUAAGAGCGCUAGGAAUGGGAACAUGGAAAAAAAACCAAACUUAUUUGCUUUCACCCAUGCCAGAGGUGAAAAUAUUAUGUUUGGUAUUUUUCUGAUGCCUCCCAUUCCUAUGGUUCUUAAGCACUCCUUCCUCUUCAUUUUGGAA